UCCACCUUCGUAGUACAGAAAAUCCUGGGUUGAGCCUGAAGUUAGCUCGUUAACGCCAAAUCCUGCUUCGUAGUACAGGCCUCUGGUCAAGAACAGACUUUCAGCAUCUGAAACAUCUUUCUGAGAGAAUUACCCAACAUGAAAGCAGCAGGACAAGCCAUACAAACGGGAAUUGAGCAGUAUAACUGCAAAUCGAGGAGAACAGGCUGAGCUCGCCAGGGGAAAUGGGACACUUCAGAAGACCACGCUGUGUAACAUAUCUGGAGAAAAUGUAUGGAGUGUAUUGCACCGACCCAGGAUACUCUUUGGGACUGCAUGGUUCCUUUUUUGUGCCGCAGGAAGAUUGAGUGAAAGCACUUCUUGUCCUCUAGAAUUAGCCUUGGGUGCCCUUUUAUGUCGCCUGUUCUAAUGGCAGUGAAUUAUGCUGACAAAGUAAGUGCUGUACAGGCCGUCAGCCAAAAGACAAGACUUGUUGAAGUUCUCAUAAAGU